CCUACGGGAGGCAGCAGUAGGGAAUCUUUCACAAUGGGCGAAAGCCUGAUGGAGCAACGCCGCGUGCAGGAUGAAGGCCUUCGGGUUGUAAACUGCUUUUAUAAGCGAGAAAUAUGAUGGUAACUUAUGAAUAAGGAUCGGCUAACUACGUGCCAGCAGCCGCGGUCAUACGUAGGAUCCGAGCAUUAUCAGGUGUGACUUGGUGUAAAGAGUUCCGUAGGUGGCAUAAUAAGUAGCUAGUGAAAUCUGGUGGCUCAACCAUUCAUACUAUUAGCUAAACUGUUAAGCUCGAGACCGUUAGGGGUAACUGGAAUUUCUAGUGUAGGAGUGAAAUCCGUAGAUAUUAGAAGGAACACCAAUAGCGUAGGCAGGUUGCUGGGACGGUUCUGACACUAAGGCACGAAAGCGUAGGGAGCAAACGGGAUUAGAUACCCUGGUAGUC
rnacentral:rRNA from 1 species